CCAAUAUAAAAAUUGAACUGGAUUCUACUGUGAGUGGAUUUUGGCAAGUUGUACGAGCUGCAAAGACGAGAAUUGCAUUUGUCGACCAAAUGAAGAAAAUCCACAAAAGCAGUACUUGUAGAUCACCUACUGAAAGUGCUAGCAGACAUUACAAGCAAUUCAAAAAGUGCUGUAUAUUGCAUAUUAUAUGAAAUUUUUUGACAACGAAAGGUGUGUGUUGGAUGAGUUCCGUGUUUUCUUACACUCUAGUAAAAACAUGUUGGCAUAGUUAUAUACAAACUUUGCUUUAUUAAUAUAGAUAUCAGAUAAGUAUCUUGCUAAAUGGUUGUAAAUUAUAGAUAUAAUUAAUUCCUUCGUAAUAAAAAGAUGAUUGCUAAUUUUAACCUUGCAAUUUAUUACAAAAUGAAUGACCGGGAGAGGAAAGAAAAGGUUUUUGGGGGGAUCUAACUAUAAACAGAGCCCAAUUACUUUUUGUAUUAUUUUAAGCAUGAGACUUACUCAAUUAGUUUUAUACAAUAAUAAUAAUAUAUCCCACUCUUCCAGGGACUCCACAUCUCGUGAUCGUUACCUUUAUCAACAUUCUCUCUAAUACCUCCACUACAAUAUAUGUUGUAUGAGGAGCGUGAAGACCACACAGACGAGAGAGGAUUCAUAGAUAUUAUGUACAAUACACAUGGGAGGAUCAAACGAAAAUGAUAAGAUAUCAACAUAAUUUGCCGCGAAAUAGAAGGGAAUUACAAAUAAAAAUAAAUUAAAGACAUUUUCACCAUUUCUUCAUCAUUGAAAAUGUUCUCUGACAUUUGAAAACCCAGGGAUGGAAGCCAUAAAAACCAGGAGAAGAGGGAACAAAAUUCCUGUUAAAUUGUCAAUAAUACCACAAGCGUUUGAAAUAGCAAAUCAUUAAGGAAUUUCAUAUUUUACUUUGUGUGUCCAUCAAA
rnacentral:lncRNA from 1 species